ACCCAAAAUAUUUUUGCUAGACUUCUUGGCUGCACCAGAAAUUUCCCUUGGUCAUUCUUGCUUUACUUCUUUGUUUUCUUCCUUCUUUGUUCUUAUUGGUUGCACUUUAUCUCUUCUUUGACUUUCUCAAAGAAAGAAGACUUAAGAAACUCUUUUGCUCCCAUUUCCCACGGAUCCAUGCAAAUCAGAAAUUUGCACCUCACUUUACACUCUUAAGGAAAGUGCUAGGAAGCUCUCUUGAGUCUUCCCUCAAGUCCACCGGUUCACACACCAAAAGAAAGACAAAACCCCACCCAAAAGUCUUCCCCUAAUCUCAUUUUCUUGGCUGCACCAGAUAGAAAGUCCAGCAGCAAGAAGGAAGCUUCUUUCAACUCCCUCAAGCUCUCUACCUCUCAUACUUCUGGUCCAGCCACUAGGAAAGGAAAAUCCUUUCAUGUGUUACCAGUUUCCCAGGUUUAAGCUCCUUUGACUUUAGGCUCUCGGUUCCUCUGCUUUCAGUUAGUAGGUUUUAUUUUGGAGCAGAGGGAGCCUUAGUCGAGUUUUGGAAGGAGCUGGUUUUAGUUUGAUAUGUAUAGAUCCUAAAUUAGCAAUUUGAUGUGUAGCUUUAUAGUAUUGUGUAUUUUAGGAUCUAAUGAAAGUGUAUACCUUAAAGUAUUAAGAGAUGUAUUAUGUGAAAUUCCGAAGUCGAACAAUUGGUGAAUUAUGUUAUUCUUUGGAGUACAAUGUAGAUGCUCUGAAUGUCAA